UUUCAUACAUGUCCCUAUAAAUAUAGUGAAAAGAAAAUAUAUCCCUACAAAGUUUAACUUUUAUAUAUUAUUCCUAUAAAAAUCCUAAUAUUUUCAAAUAUGUUUCUAUCAUUAAAAUCCAUUAGAAAAAGUUAAUUAACCAUGGAUUAAAUACUUAAUUAUGAUUAGUUUUUGAUAUUUUUACUUUUUUAUAUUAUACUAGUAUGACUUUUGAAGGAAUAUAUUUUGAUGGCAAAAUUGAAAAUAUAAAUAAUUCUCUAACGGUUCUCUACCGAUAACAAAUCAGAAAAACAUAUUUGAAAAUAUUAGAACUUUUGUAGGGUAACAGAUAAAAGUUAAACUUUGUAGGAAUAUAUUUAUUAUUCACUAUAUUUGUAGGGACAUGUAUAAAAUUAAGCCAAAUACUUUUAUACCCAACGUACACAACUCCUCUCCUUAAC
rnacentral:lncRNA from 1 species